GACGAACGCUGGCGGCGUGCUUAACACAUGCAAGUCGAACGGACAGACAGAGAGCUUGCUCUCUUGAAGUUAGUGGCGGACGGGUGAGUAACGCGUAAUCAACCUGCCCUUCAGAGGGGGAUAACAACGGGAAACCGUUGCUAAUACCGCGUACGAUUCAUGUACGGCAUCGUUUAUGAAUGAAAGGUGGCCUCUAUGUAUAAGCUAUCGCUGAAGGAGGGGAUUGCGUCUGAUUAGCUAGUUGGAGGGGUAACGGCCCACCAAGGCAAUGAUCAGUAGCCGGUCUGAGAGGAUGAACGGCCACAUUGGGACUGAGACACGGCCCAAACUCCUACGGGAGGCAGCAGUGGGGAAUCUUCCGCAAUGGACGAAAGUCUGACGGAGCAACGCCGCGUGAGUGAUGAAGGUCUUCGGAUUGUAAAGCUCUGUUAAUCGGGACGAAAGAGCUCUGCGUGAAUAAUGCAGAAAAGUGACGGUACCGGAAUAGAAAGCCACGGCUAACUACGUGCCAGCCGCCGCAGUAA
rnacentral:rRNA from 1 species